UAACAAGGUAGCCGUAGGGGAACCUGCGGCUGGAUCACCUCCUUUACGAGAUUAUCUGAUUGGCAAGAAUUCACAACAAGUUGUUCUUAGUAGCGUAAGUUAAAUUGGGUCUAUAGCUCAGUUGGUUAGAGCACCGCCUUGAUAAGGCGGGGGUCAUAAGUUCAAGUCUUAUUAGACCCACCAUUUAUGGGGUUAUAGCUCAGUUGGUAGAGCGCCUGCCUUGCACGCAGGAGGUCAGGAGUUCGACUCUCCUUAACUCCACCACUUGCAAUAAAUUAGAACUAAGCAAUCAAAUUAAACAGCAUACAAUUAGAUUUCUUAAUUCUACUUUAUGUAGAUAACUUACAAUUAACUGAUGAAGUUAAUUACAUUAUUUAACAACGUAACUAUGAGUCUGGGUUAAUUAUUUAAUUCCAACAAAUAAUUAACCAUCCCGACCACUACUCCACAUCUUUUAGGUUUUACUUAAAAUUUAAGUAAGAUGAGUGGUCGGAUAAAGUAAAGAGAACUGAAUCAAGCGUAAACAUAGGUAAAUCGUUACACAUUACCUUUAUGACCCCAAGACUACUUGGGGUUGUAUGGUCAAGUAAUGAAGUGCACAUGGUGGAUGCCUUGGCAGUCAGAGGCGAUGAAAGACGUGAUAGCCUGCGAUA
rnacentral:misc_RNA from 1 species